rnacentral:lncRNA from 1 species
UGUCUGUAUUAGAGAGGUGUCUGUAUUAGAGAGAUGUCUGUAUUAGAGAGGUGUCUGUAUUAGAGAGAUGUCUGUAUUAGAGAGGUGUCUGUAUUAGAGAGAUGUCUGUAUUAGAGAGAUGUCUGUAUUAGAGAGGUGUCUGUAUUAGAGAGAUGUCUGUAUUAGAGAGGUGUCUGUAUUAGAUAGAUGUUUGUAUUAGAGAGAUGUCUGUAUUAGAGAGGUGUUUGUAUUAGAGAGAUGUCUGUAUUAGAGAGAUGUCUGUAUUAGAGAGGUGUUUGUAUUAGGGAGGUGUGUGUGUUAGAGAGUUGUCUGUAUUACAGGGGUUUCUGCAUUAGAAAGAUGUCUGUAUUAGAGAGAUGUCUGUAUUAGAGAGGUGUCUGUAUUAGAAAGGUAUCUGUAUUAGAGAUUUGUUUGUAUUAGUGAGGUGUCAGUAUUAGGGAGAUGUCCAUA